AUCACUCUUUUGUGGUAGGGCCACAUCUGCCAGAGCCUGGAGUCUGCGAAGGCCGGGACCCGGUUCCCCGGCCCACAGUGGGGGUGUGCAAACCCGAGAGAACUGGGUUGCAAAUUCGUGAAGAAUCAGCAUCAUGUUUGGCAGCUGAGUAUUGGAGCCAGGAGCCUGCCAUGAGCCGAUGCAGCCUCAGUGUUCCUUUGCCUUGGGGGUUUCUGAGUGGUGGGGUUGUAAGCAGAUCCUGCCAGGCACCCAGAAGGAAACCUCAUCAGGACUCCCUCAGAAAGCAGGCCCUGAAGAAUCCUGUGACCUUCAUCUAAAGUAGGUCAUGAGACCCCUGAGCUUAAAACGGAGUGAUCGGCUUUGGAGAAGUAAGGAGACAUGACGUGCCUGCCCUGGGGUGGGGACUAAACUUCGUGCCACUCCACGUGAAAGGGGGAGAAAUCCCUGGAAGGCACGCAGGCUGGACAUCAUCAUAUAUUCUCUACAGAUGGAGACACCAAGGCCCACGCCUUCUGUGCUGUUGGAAUUUCAGGAAGGAUGGGGGUGGGGCACGGCCUCAGCCCUGGGCAUGUUCUGCAGAUUGCACUGCUCUUAUCUGCCAGGGGGUGGUGAGAGGGUGGCUGAGCUGGACAGAUGGCGGGCAGGGACGGGCUCUGCGGUCUGGCAGCUGACAUUGAUACAAGCAAAAAAAGAGUCUUUGCUGGGGGCUCUGGAGGGCCUGGGUGUCAUGCCUGGGGGUGGGAGGAGCCUCUUGUGGGGAGCCCCUUGGAGCCCAACUGCCAGCCAGGUCCUACCUGCCGUGGUUAGGGGGCACUCUGCCCCCACCCUCAUUAACGCCUCAGUGAGGACACAAGAGGCCAGUUGUGAGGGCUGUUUUCCAUAUGGCAGGAAUGAACCUUGGAGGCGAACUGCCAGGUCCUGUGCCAGGCUCUCUGGCUGCUGAAAAAAUUUGCUGGGAACCAGGACCUGGGGGCUCAAGGUCUGUCAUGGAUGCAGUCAGGGGAGGCUUCUGAAGCACUGGCUGGUACAGGUUCUAGAGCUGCACCCCCUUGUAGAAGCAGGUACAAUACCCGCCUUUGACCUCUGGCCCUGCCCUGGCUUUUUCAAUCCCUCAGCCAGGGCUGCAUCCUGAAGCAAGCAACCUGACAAUGCUAAGCCUCAGUUUCCUCAUCUGUAAAACGGGGACAGUGACCCCAGCAUCACAAGGAGGCAAGGGGAACAAGACCAAGUGUUACAUGUAAAGCCUCUGGCAGGGAACAGAGAAAGCAGCAGUGCCCUUUCUACUACAUUUCUGCCCCCUCCUCCCUGGAAGGCCCGUCCUCACCUUCUGCAGGGGUUCUCGAUCUCCUGGACCACAGACCCAAUUGAGAAUGUGUCAAAAGCCAUGAGCUCUCUCCCUAGAAAAAUUCUGGAGUCAGGGCUGGGCGGGGACCUGAGCACACAGAGUCCACACUGGCCUCAUGGUCAGGAGGGUGUGUCAGAGCCGUGUGGACACGAGGGACCCCGGGACACAAACUAUCACCCACUAAUGUGCAAAAUCACAGCCCUGCCUCCCUGAGGCGGGAGGAAGCUGGGGACACAGGAAGGCCGAAAGUCAAAGGACUUGUGUUCUACGGUCUCAGAGGGCCUGUGUGGUCAAACGAGCUGUGGCCCAGUGCCUGGUUUGCCAGCCAGUCCCUGCCUACAGCUUGAGGCUCCCCUUCCUGGGGACAGGGAGCUGGAGAAGGAGGGCAGAUGAGGUGGAAACAGAGGGGUGGUUAUUCCCAUGGUCAGAGGCUGCACUGGUGGCCACGGGGAGGAGGCCAGAGGCAUGGAGCUAUUUUUCUUUUACACUCGGUCGAGCAGGCUGGGCUGCUCCUCUGUGGUUGGCAACUUAAUGCCAGCCUCUAUGCCUCCUCUGCUUUGCCCCUGGGCACCCCUCUCCUCUGUGAGCACCCCUGGCACCUAGUGGUCUCCCCCUUACAAUUGUCCCUGCAGUCUGUCCCUAAAUGACCCUGGGAAAUAGCACUGGAUUUUAGGCCCUGGCCAGCCCCAACUCGCUGUAAGUCUGUGGCAAGAGACUUCCCUCUUGGGAUUCAUUUCCCUAUCUGUGAAAUGGGCAGAUGAACCACACUAGUGGUUAUUAAACUGUGUUCCAA
rnacentral:lncRNA from 1 species